AUUGAACGCUGGCGGCAGGCCUAACACAUGCAAGUCGAGCGGAUGAGAGGAGCUUGCUUCUCGAUUCAGCGGCGGACGGGUGAGUAAUGCCUAGGAAUCUGCCUGGUAGUGGGGUACAACGUUUCGAAAGGAACGCUAAUACCGCAUACGUCCUACGGGAGAAAGCAGGGGACCUUCGGGCCUUGCGCUAUCAGAGGAGCCUAGGUCGGAUUAGCUAGUUGGUGAGGUAAUGGCUCACCAAGGCGACGAUACGUAACUGGUCUGAGAGGAUGAUCAGUCACACUGGAACUGAGACACGGUCCAGACUCCUACGGGAGGCAGCAGUGGGGAAUAUUGGACAAUGGGCGAAAGCCUGAUCCAGCCAUGCCGCGUGUGUGAAGAAGGUCUUCGGAUUGUAAAGCACUUUAAGUUGGGAGGAAGGGUUGUAGAUUAAUACUCUGCAAUUUUGACGUUACCGACAGAAUAAGCCCCGGCUAACUCUGUGCCAGCCGCCGCCGUAA
rnacentral:rRNA from 1 species